rnacentral:rRNA from 1 species
UACGUAGGGGGCAAGCGUUGUCCGGAUUUAUUGGGCGUAAAGAGCGUGUAGGCGGCUAGAUAGGUCCGUUGUGAAAACUCGAGGCUCAACCUCGAGACGCCGAUGGAAACCAUCCAGCUAGAGUCCGGAAGAGGAGAGUGGAAUUCCUGGUGUAGCGGUGAAAUGCGCAGAUAUCAGGAAGAACACCCGUGGCUAAGGCGGCUCUCUGGGACGGUACUGACGCUGAGACGCGAAAGCGUGGGGAGCGAACAGG